rnacentral:rRNA from 1 species
UACGGAGGGGGCUAGCGUUGUUCGGAAUUACUGGGCGUAAAGCGCACGUAGGCGGCUUUGCAAGUUAGAGGUGAAAGCCCGGGGCUCAACUCCGGAAUUGCCUUUAAAACUGCAUCGCUAGAAUUGUGGAGAGGUAAGUGGAAUUCCGAGUGUAGAGGUGAAAUUCGUAGAUAUUCGGAAGAACACCAGUGGCGAAGGCGACACACUGGGCCAUUACUGACGCUGAGGCGCGAAAGCGUGGGGAGCAAACAGGG